rnacentral:rRNA from 1 species
GACAGAGGGGGCGAGCGUUGUCCGGAGUCACUGGGCGUAAAGCGCGCGCAGGCGGCAACCUUAGUGUCGUGUGAAAGCCCCCGGCUCAACCGGGGGAGGCCAUGGCAAACUGGGUCGCUCGAGCUGCGGAGAGGCCCCUCGAAUUGCCGGUGUAGCGGUGAAAUGCGUAGAGUUCGGCAGGUAGGCCAAGGGGGAAGCCAGGGGGCUGGCCGCAGGCUGACGCUGAGGCGCGACAGCGUGGGGAGCAAACCGG